GACGUAGGAGGCGAGCGUUGUCCGGAUUCAUUGGGCGUAAAGAACGCGCAGGCGGCUUGGUAAGUCGGAUGUGAAAUCCCGAGGCUCAACCUCGGGUCUGCAUCCGAUACUGCCCGGCUAGAGGUAGGUAGGGGAGAUCGGAAUUCCUGGUGUAGCGGUGAAAUGCGCAGAUAUCAGGAGGAACACCGGUGGCGAAGGCGGGUCUCUGGGCAGUAACUGACGCUGAGGAGCGAAAGCGUGGGGAGCGAACAGG
rnacentral:rRNA from 1 species